AACCCGAGGCGACGACUCUUU
rnacentral:miRNA from 1 species